rnacentral:rRNA from 1 species
GUCUACGGCCAGACCACCCUGAACACGUCUGAUCUCGGAAGCUAAGCAGGGUCGGGCCCGGUUAGUACUUGGCUGGGAGACCUCCUGGGAAUACUGGGUGCUGUAGGCU